GACAGAGGUGGCGAGCGUUGUUCGGAAUUACUGGGCUUAAAGGGCGAGUAGGCGGUGGAGUAAGUCUGGGGUGGAAUCUUAGGGCUUAACCCUAAAACUGCCUUAGAAACUGCUUUACUUGAGUCAGUGAGGGGAGGGCGGAAUUCCUGGUGUAGCGGUGAAAUGCGUAGAUAUCAGGAGGAAGGCCUGUGGCGAAGGCGGCCCUCUGGCACUGUACUGACGCUGAGGCGCGAAAGCGUGGGUAGCAAACAGG
rnacentral:rRNA from 1 species